rnacentral:lncRNA from 1 species
UCUCCCAGGAGCCUGCAUCUCAGCAUUGCGUGCAGUGUAGGCUGCUGUGGGAGGCAAGUCUCCAGGGACCGCCCUGCGACUCACCCCCCAAGGGCAAGGCCCCACCUCUACCCUUUCCUCAUGUCAGCCCAGGACGCUUGGGGACCCGCCAUCUUGGUCUGCACACAGGAGUGCUGGCCUGUCUCUUGAGAAAUGCUGCCAUCUCAAGGGCCUCAAUGCUGUCGUUGUCCAAAAGAAUGAAUCCACUUCAAUGUCCAUCCUUUUGGUGAGAAUCCAAGCUCAACCAAAGUGACCCCUUCAAGGCCCCACAAAUGGCACCUGUGCCAAGGGUUGACUUCAGUCAUCGCUAAAACCAGGACUCAAAGGUCAAGGCGUCAUAACAACCCAAAGCACAUCAGGGUCGCCCAGACAGCCCAGGGAGCGUUUCUCAGUCAUGUGCAUCUUUCAGUUAUUUACUGUGCUCAGAUUAUGCCAGGAAGGCUCUUGGCCGGAGAGUUCUUCCUGCACUUGUCUGGCUUCAGAGGGCUGGCGGGAAGGCACAUGGGAGAUGAAGUCAGCAGCACCCUCCAGCGCUGCCACGGGGAGAGAAGGAACCCUCGGAUGCCCCCAGAUCUCCUCUCCUCUCCCAGCCCCCACCCACUCAGCCCCAGGAAGGGUGGUGUGGCUGAACAAGCCAAUGCCUCUCCUGGAGGCUGCCUUGGCCUCGCGGUCUCAGUCUGUGGAAGGACCUGGAGCCAUGAGAAUUGGUCUGGCCGGCUCCGUGGAGGUGGCCUGUCCUGGAUGUGCAAUUGGAGUCAAGAUCAAAUUCUCUCUCCAACUGACAGUGGUCUGGUUUGACAUGGUGGAGAAGGUCAAGACGAUGCCGCUCAACACUUGCCUCCUCAGAUGGAUUUCCAGAUUCACUUCCUGCCAAUCACGCAGUUACUCCAUCCUCUGCAGGACCCAGGCAGCCUCUUUGGUUUUACAGGAUUUGAUGCAAUCAACUUGAGCUUAUAAACGUGUCUUUUUUUUUUUACUAUAAUAGCAAUACAUAUUCAUUAACACAUUUUGGAGAAUACAAAAAAUAGUUGAAAUAAAAGCAUAUUUGUUGAUUGAAAAUUGCUUUCUAAACGUCAAUUAGCUCUUCCAUGGAAUCAUAAAAUCUCAGAGUUGGGAGGGAGCUUGGAGGUCACGUU